UGAUCCCUUCCCGAACUCAGAAGUGAAACCUCUUAGCGCUGAUGGUAGUGUGGGGUUACCCAUGUGAGAGUAAGUCAUCGCCAGCU
rnacentral:rRNA from 2 species